AAGUCGUAACAAGGUUUCCGUAGGUGAACCUGCGGAAGGAUCAUUAUUGAAUAAACGUGGUUGGGUUGUUGCUGGCUUCUAGGAGCAUGUGCACGCUCACUCCAUUUUUAACCACCUGUGCACCUUGUGUAGAUCUGAACAAAUCUCGGGGAAACUCGGUCAGAGAAUUGCUGUGUGUUUAAAAGCCAGCUUUUCUUGGGUUCAGAUCUAUGUCUCUAUAUACACCAUAUGAAUGUAUUCGAAUGUAAUUGAUAGGCGUUACAGCCUCUAAAAUCAAAUACAACUUUCAACAACGGAUCUCUUGGCUCUC
rnacentral:misc_RNA from 1 species